GCCGGGAACUUAAUAGUGUGACAUCCAGCGGCAGUAAACAAUGCAGGCGCUGGCAGCACUCUGGCCGGGCAGCAAAUCAAUAGCUCCAGUCCAUGGACGUAUGGAAUUAGCUGGAAGACGAUAUUGUAGUCUUACCGCAGAUAAUUAUUUCGUUUGUAAUUAAACAACAAUGUCCUCAAUUGAGAUUUUGAGAGUUUGUCAACGAGCGACUAGCUGCUGCUGCUGAAGAAAUAUUCGGAGUUAAAAAAAAAAAGCUAUCGUCGAGUAACGUUACGAAGAAGAGAUCGAUCGUCUGCGCAGAGUGCUGGAUAUCGUUUGGAAACCUGAAAUAAAGUUACACAGGAUAGGGCUCCCUCAGCAGCAUGUCUGUAAAGAGGAGGAGGUUCUCGCUGACCAGCAGCUCUGUAUUCAGGAGAGGAACGUCAGUCUGCACCAAGAGGACCCCGAGCCUCCACAGAGGAAACAGGAGGAACUCUGCACCAGUCAGAAGGGAGAGCCGCUUGUCCUGAAGCAGGGGACUGAAACCGUUCUGUUGACUCCUACCAAUGAGAAAAGUAACCACAGUGAACGGGAACCAAAAAGUGACCACCAGCUCCUCUUCUCUCAACUCUUGUGUAGCAGAGAGUCAAGAUCAGAAAGGAAGCAAGCAUCGAGACUCAGGAUCAACUAGAAAUACAGAGCAAACACCAAAGAGAAGACGUCACAAAAGCAAUAAUCACUGUAACAAUAUAAACAACUCUGACUUGUUAAAGAUUCACUGUAAACUCACAAUGUGACCCUUGUGGCAAAGCAUUCAAGUUUAAGUCCCAAUUGUAUAAACACCUGAUAAUCCACACAAGUGACCUGUAUUGUUGCAAAACAUGUGGGAAAAAAGAUUCACUUGGACAUCAUUUUUGAACACAUCAUUUUUGAACACAUAAGAAUCCAUACAAAUGAGAAGCCAUUUUCUUGCAAAACAUGUGGAAAAGAUUUUACAUAUAAUCAUGCCUUGGUUUAUUUAAAAAUAUUUGAAAUAACUCAAAUAAGUUAAAUUUAGUAGUACAGAGAAAAUAAAAAUUCUUGUCAAAUGAAGCAAGAACUAAAGGCUAACUAAAUCUGUCAAUGUGACAAAAACACAAGUAUUGUGAUAUAACACAUUACAAGUCAUCAUUACAUGCAAUCAGCUGGUUAACCCCUAAUGUCCUGAUACUUAAAGUCCUGAAGCUAUAGACUAUAUACACACUAUAGAUUAAAAAGUAAGUGAACUUCAAACAGGAAAUUAUUUGAUCUGACCCAACAUUUUUAUUUUCUCAAGAAAGUAAUUAUACAGAGGCUUGCAAAAGUAUUCAUACCUCUUGAACUUUUCCAUUGCCACGUUACAACCACAAAUGUAAAUGUAUUUCAUUGGGACUUUAUGUGAUAGACCAACACAAAGUGGUGCAAAAUUGUGAAGUGGAAGGUAAAUGAUACAUGGGUUUUCAAAUUCUUUUACAAAUAAAAAAACUGAAAAGUG